ACCUGAGUGGCUCAGUGGUUGAGCGCCUGCCUUUGGCUCAGGUCGUGAUCCCAGGGCCCUGGGUUUGAGUCCCACAUCAGGCU
rnacentral:tRNA from 1 species